rnacentral:rRNA from 1 species
UGGGGAAUAUUGCACAAUGGGCGCAAGCCUGAUGCAGCCAUGCCGCGUGUAUGAAGAAGGCCUUCGGGUUGUAAAGUACUUUCAGCGUGGCGGAAGGGAGUAAAGUUAAUACCUUUGCUCAUUGACGUUACCCGCAGAAGAAGCACCGGCUAACUCCGUGCCAGCAGCCGCGGUAAUACGGAGGGUGCAAGCGUUAAUCGGAAUUACUUGGCGUAAAGCGCACGCAGGCGGUUUGUUAAGUCAGAUGUGAAAUCCCCGGGCUCAACCUGGGAACUGCAUCUGAUACUGGCAAGCUUGAGUCUCGUAGAGGGGGGUAGAAUUCCAGGUGUAGCGGUGAAAUGCGUAGAGAUCUGGAGGAAUACCGGUGGCGAAGGCGGCCCCCUGGACGAAGACUGACGCUCAGGUGCGAAAGCGUGGGGAGCAAACAGG